AAACUUUGACUAAAUGCCGCCGUUGUGGCACAGUGAGAGGGCUCGUGACUAGCACUUAUCCCUCUUACCUGUGGGAUGGCGAUAUGUCCUAUUCUUUUAACGUGCUGUGCUCCUAGACAGCCUGCUACUGGCCACUUCCAUGCCAACUAGUUUGUGUGUCUGACGACCUGCUACCUGUACUAUGUAUUCUCUUAUGAGCAUAUCUAGCCUAACAUAGCCAUCACCAACGAUAAUCUAUUAAGGUCUCAUAGCUCGUUCACUACAUGUCUUGGUACGCUUAUUACUUAUUACAAUUUACUGAAGUCUCAUAAUUUGAUAACCUCAUGUUCCAGCAUAUUAUUACUCGCUACGGUUGUCAUAUAGCUUGUUAAUCUCACAUCAUAUAUAUAAAACUGUGCUGUCUAAUCU